ensembl:lncRNA
GCAGGAGCCAGGCAGGCAGCAAGCAUCUGCUCAGGGCCACCCAGAUCAGAGCACAGUGGGAACAAGAAAUCCUUGGACUGCUUAUCAAGGAGCUGGGAAACUCCAGGAUACUGUACUCAUGGGGGAUUUUUACUACCCAGACAUCUGCCGGGUAACAAAUGCAGCUAAUCAUGGAGAUAAUGUACAGCCCUAAUUCACUAUAAAUUCUCUCCCAUAUGUUUAGAAUUGUAUUUACAGUAGGGAGGGAGCGAUGGUUAUUCAUGAAUCAAGGUGAACUGGGGAGCCGGUGCAGAGGUUGGCCGUAUAUUGUGGGAAACACUGUGUGACAAGCUGGAGCAGAAUCCCUCUGAAAGCGGAGAUGUAUUUCUGAUAUUCUAAGAAACAAACAUUUCUGUAAUUACUGAUUGCUGUGACACGUGCUGAUUGAACUCUUCAUUUCUCAGGAACCUCUGCUGACCUUGAGGCACAAGCUCACAGGUGGACGAAAUCUACCUCCUACAGCUCCGUUCUGUCGAUUAGGAGGGUGAAAAUGAUUAAGAAGGAGCCCAUGUUUGUGCCGCUGGUGAGAGAUGGAUGGGUCAGAUUACUCCACCCCACCCACUGCAUCAGCAUAUGUCCUUGCCAUUGCUGUCCCCCAUUUCUGCCUGCCCUGUCUGCUUCCUGCUGGAAACCCGUCUGCAGAGCAGAAGGGCUGAGAUAACAACCAGCUGUGAGCGAGGCUGUCUGUGCUCAGCUCUUGGUGGUCCGGUGCGUCAGGAGAGGACUGGCUUGCUGGGAGGAUGGGGAAAGCAUCGUGAGUGGGGGGGGGGAACCACCUGGCCACGUUGGCUCUUGCUUUGGACCGAGGAAGGAUUGGUGAAUUGCAGUUUUUUAACAUGUGCUGAGCUGUACAUAAAUGCCUAGGGCAGGAGCUUUUUUUUUCCCUCUAAAACAUUAAUUGAUUAACUUUCCCCUGUUCUUCCACCAAUGUUUUUCUAAGAGCAUUUUUAGUGUUAUUGAUUUUUUUUUUUUUCCCCUGUAUAUUUUCAAAGAAGUAGAGAGAAAAUGAGAGCAAUUACUCUAUUUUCUGGAAGAAAUAGGCAAAACAGGAAAAUCAAUGCCUUCUAAACUUUCCUGGACAAGGGUGAAAUUCUCGUGCUAUUGAAAUCCAAGCUCCCAGCCCUUCUGCAGAGUCAGAAUGCCACUCCAAACCCCCUGCAGUGAACCUGCACUCUGUGCUGUGGGGACCAGCAUUCAGUAGGGAGAGACAGUCCUCAGAUCCAGCUGCCUUUAAGGCAUCACACACCCCUGGGCUCCAAUAGGACCAGACCACGUAGAUUUGAUGUUGGAGACCUCUCUGGUCAAGUUCUCCCCUCAGACACACGCACAGAGCUCACGGUGUGGAAACUUCUCCUAGGUAACUAGUGAGGAUGAGAAUCAACUCCUUUAAGUUGCAACGGGGGAGCUUUGGGUUAAAUAUUAGGAAAAGUUUAAUCUCAGAAGGAGUGGUGCUGCAUUGGCACAGCUGCACAGGGAGGUGGUGGAGUCACCAUCCCUGGAGGUGCGCAAGAACUGCGGGGAUGUGGCACUGAGGGAGGUGGGCAGUGGGCACCGUGGGGGUGUGCUGGUGGUUGGACUGAGUGGUGGUCUUUUCCACCAGUUUGUUUGUUUGUAAUCAAACGUAUUCCUUACAAGCUCUGUCAGGGCCUUAUUGAUUUCCUUACAGCUCCAGUACUGAUACUGUGAGCUCUCACAGCGCCCGCGGUCACCCAUACUCUUCUUCUUCCCUUCACCACAGACCUGCUGGAUAGAGACAACGUUUGUUGAAACAUUUUACAUUGAAGUUAAUACUGAUGGUGGGAGGACGUCACAGCAGCGCAAGUCAAAAUGUGCAGGGAGUGGGGAAUCUUGAUGGAUUUGAAAGGAGCACUUUAGCCUGUGCAUGGGAACACGUCCGAUGCCAUUAUGUGUUAAUGGAUAUGAUUUAUUUCAGGGAAAAGAGGAGAAGAGAACCCAG